UACGUAGGGGGCAAGCGUUGUCCGGAAUCAUUGGGCGUAAAGCGCGUGUAGGCGGCCCGGUAAGUCCGCUGUGAAAGUCGGGGGCUCAACCCUCGAAUGCCGGUGGAUACUGUCGGGCUAGAGUGCGGGAGAGGCGAGUAGAAUUCCUGGUGUAGCGGUGAAAUGCGCAGAUAUCAGGAGGAACACCAAUUGCGAAGGCAGCUCGCUGGAACGUAACUGACGCUGAGACGCGAAAGCGUGGGGAGCAAACAGG
rnacentral:rRNA from 1 species